AUACUUACCUGACAGAAGAGACAUUGCAAUCAUGAAGGUGGUUUGCCCAGGGCAAGGCUCAUCCACUGCACUCCAGACAUUUGACCUCUGAGAUUUUACCAAAUGUGGGAAACCAGCCUUCAUAAUUUGUUGUAGUGAGGAACUGUGUUCUUGCUGUGCCCCC